CCCUAAUCCCGACAGUGUGUGUACAGUGUGCAUGGGGUGAGAAAUCAAGUAUCUGCAUUACAUGGCUGGAGCUAGCUGACAUGACUGUAAGUACACAUAUAUCCAUUGCCUUCAUGUCACACAGCUACCCCUCCUCCUCCACAAGCAUCAUUUUUAUUGUAACAUUUAUUGUGGAUGAAUCACCCAUGUCUGCAUGUAUGUUAGGUGCGUGUGGACUUUUAUCUCCCUGGAAGACAUGGGUGCAAUAGCUGCCUUGAGACAAGGGGUUAAUAUAUAUAGAAAAAGACCCUCCCAUCACAUUGCAGCCCACCCACCUUCAUACCCCAUUUUCACUUAAUGGGUUAAUAUCUACCUCUCGAUCUAUCUAUGUAUCUAUCUUUCCAUCCAUCUAUCUCUCUUUUAACCCCUUCACUGCUGACCAUUAGAUUCAGAUCAUGUAAAUCAUGCAUUCACCCAUACAGGUGCCUACAUGUCUGUGUGCCCAGCUGAGCUAGCUGCCAGGGAAUGCAUGCCCCCCCGUGACUAUACAUGCAUGCACACACAUUUUACACUGGCAUGCCUGUGCAUUUAUAACACUGCCAUGCAGAGGGAUGCUAGAGCACCUUUCUGUCCCUGCUUUAGCGAUAUUUUACAUUGAAGGCUUCCCUGUGUUGUUUGCAGUGAAGGUGGCAAUUAAAAUAGCUACAUGUGUGCUUGAGAAAUCGUGCCUCUCUCUCUCCCUCUCCCCCUCUCCUUCUCUCUCUCUCUCUCUCUCUCUCUCUCUCUCUCUUUGCAGUCAGUAGAUAAUUCUUGUCUGUCUUUAGCCCAUUUCUGAGGAUGCCUCUGCUAAACCCAUUCUAUUAAUAAUGUAUGGCCAUCUUUCAGCCAUUUCCCUGUAACCUGUUCUCAGUUUUUUGGGGGGAUACAGAAACUGUAAAUUAAUCUCUGUAUUUAGAUGCUUGUUUUCCCCCCAUUUCACCAUCUUCUUCUCUCUAAUAAAAUAUUGAUUCCACCUCUCUCUCUGUUCUGUAUAGGAAGGGGGUGUUUAGAAUGAGAACAUUAUGCUGCAGAUAGCAACAGCAUUGAUCAGCUAAGGAGCAAAUAAGCCUUCCAGAUCCACAUAUACAAACCUACAGGAUCUGGCCACAAAAAGGAGCUUGUUAUCCCAGUCCUACAUCGUGCUUUACAGAACAAUCUGUGAUUUAUUCUUCUUGUUCCUGAAUUUCUGCCUUUGCUUCUCAAAGUCAGGAAGGAUUUGGCUAAUACACAAAGGAUUGCAUUUCCUCCUUUAAAUCUCCAAUCCUUUUGCAUUUUUUUAUUCCUAUGUAUUUCUGCACCCUGUUUUCCUAUGUGGAUAUGCAAGGUAGAAGAAAGAACAGCAUAAUCCCAUCAUGUCCACAGCUUUAACCCAACAGACUAACGGAUCUGUGUCUACAAGCCCAGG